UGUAUUGGCAAUCUUAGGUUUGCUGCCCCUUUAGCUGGCUUCUUGUUGUUCUUUGCCAUCAGGCACAGGUGGGAGUGAUGUUUCGACGCAGACACACAAAAGAUUUUCCAGUGAUGAUUUUAGUUGAGUCGGACGGUACGCACAAGGCCUUGUGCAUCUGCUUUCGUCUCCAGUAUUCUACCCAUUAACCAGGAGCCUCGUGGUGCAGUGGAGUCGACCACCACAACUAUGUCACCUGGGGCGAAGUUCCUUUUUACCUUUGACCACCGCUGUCGUUCUUGAAUUAAUGGUAAGUACUCCUGUGUCCACCUUUUCCAGAAGAGAUCUGCCAUGUAUUGUACUUGUCUCCAUCUGCGCCUUAGAUACAAGUCCUCUCUUACGAAGAGUCCAGGUGGUAGUAUCGGCUUGGUUUUCAACAGAAGGAGGUGGUUUGGGAACUUGUUGGCUAAGAACAGAGCGCAGCACGUUUCGGACCAUGCGGAUCAAACGCUCCCAUACACCGCCGUGAUGAGAUCCUGCUGGGGGGUUAAAGUGCCAUUUAAUUCCCUUCUGAAGCAUAGCUGUCUGGAUUUUGUCCUGAUUCAAGGCAUUAAGUGCUUCUCUCAAUUCUCUUUCAGCUCCAACAAAGUUUGUUGCGUUGUCUGAUCUUAAAGACUGCACUUGACCUCGCCGACAAAUAAAUCUUCGUAGUGUAUGGAUGCAGGAGUCUGUGUCAAGAGUAUAUGCAACUUCGAGAUGCACUGCCCUGCUUGCCAUGCAGGUGAAGAUUACGCCAUAUCUUUUAACAAGACUUCGUCCUCUUUUGAUCGCUAUAGGGCCGAAGUAGUCUACUCCUACGUCUGUAAAUGGAGGCUUGUCUGGUAGAAUCCUUUCCAGAGGCUUUGGAUGCGUUGCUCUGCUAUGCAACGGUUGUUUGGCAUGCGGGGAUUUUCUUGCUUGAAAGAAGGUGGCUGAGCUUCCAUGGUCCAAAAACGCAUACGUCUGCAACACAGUGUCUCCUUUGGGGGUCUUCACUUGUACUGGCACAAUAGAGAAGAGACAGGCUAUUUCACCGGCCCCAAUAUGCCCACAUGUAUGAGGUGUUGCAGUAGUUGCAAAACUGCUUCCUCUUGGUCUCGGCCUCUCUCUUGCUGUGACAUAGGGUUUGACGGAUGUAGUUGUCUUAGCAUCCUGGAUGUUCCCAAAAAGUGGAUCCGACAAUAUCUUCACUUGUCUCUCCAUGAAGUCUACCAAGUCAGAGAAACUAGCUCGACGUCCAUGUUGUUCCUGGAGCUGACAUGCCCUAUUCCUCCACUUGUCUCUGAGCUUGUAAGGCAGUUUCAGAAGAAUGGUCUUCAUACUGGAAGCGACGUUCAACUCCUCCAUAUAGGUGAGUUGUUCCAUUGCAUUGCAACAACCUCUCAGGAAUAAUGUAAACGCUUGCAAUGCUUUCACGUCCUCUGGCUUAAUCGCUGGCCAGGCAAACGCUUUGUUCAUGUAUGCUGUAGCAAUCUUAUGUUCGCUACCAAAAUGUUCUUUAAGCAGUUCUUUUGCUCUUUUAUAGCCCUCAGCCGAAGACAAAUGUUGACAGCUGUGGACUAAAUCCUUUGGAUACCCUCUGGUAUAUUGCUCUAGGAAAUGCAGGCAGUCACUGUAGUCAUCAGUCUUUCUUUCCACUCCUCUCUCGAAUGCCCUGAUGAAAACUCCAUAUUGCAAGGGAUCACCAUCAUAAACGGGAAUAUCUCUUGGUGGUAAAGUAGAAGAGAGAUUGUGUUGAGCUAGAAGAGAGGUUAUGUCACUUUGCUUCUGAAUGAUGUGAUAGAUAUCACCUUGAUUAUGAUCAUUAUAUCCAGGUUGUGUUAGAGGAGUCAUAUCCUGAGCUCUAACAGAUGGUCCAUCAGCGCUUUUCUUUGGCUGAACAACCUGUUGCUGGGAAGAUGAUUCUGUUCCUGUCCGCACAUUCAGUCUUUGUUGCACUUGAUCGGGAAAAUAGGUGUUUGCAUGUGGAUUUUCUUUGACUGACCUUUUCCAUUGAACAGUUCCUUUUUCCAAAUAAGAGUUCAUUCCGUCUGACACUCUUGAGCUAUUUCUUGAUUCAAGUACAUUGAUUUUUGCAUUGGUUGCUGCCAGUUCAGUCUCUAGUUCCAGUUGUUCUU
ensembl:lncRNA